GCAUCUGUGGUUCAGUGGUAGAAUGCUCGCCUGCCACGCGGGUGGCCCGGGUUCGAUUCCCGGCCGAUGAA
rnacentral:tRNA from 1 species